AUUGAACGCUGGCGGCAGGCCUAACACAUGCAAGUCGAGCGGAUGAAGGGAGCUUGCUCCUGGAUUCAGCGGCGGAAGGGUGUGUAAUGCCUAGGAAUAUGCCUGGUUGUGGGGGAUAACGUCCGGAAGCGGGCGCUAAUACCGCAGACGUCCUGAGGGAGAAGGAGGGGGAGCUUCGGACCUCACGCUAUCAGAUGAGCCUAGGUCGGACUAGCUAGUUGGUGGGGUUAGGGCCUACCAAGGCGACGAUCCGUAGCUGGUCUGAGUGGAUGAUCAGUCACACUGGAACUUGGACAGGGACCUUGCUACUACGAGACGCAGCAGUCUGCAAUGUUAGACAGCGGUCGGAAGUCUGACCCAGCCAGGCCGCGUGUGUUAAGACGGCGUUCCGAGCGGAAUGCACGUCAUGUUGUGGUAAACGGCAUUAAGCUAAUACCUUGCUGUAUUGACGGUAACAGCUGAAGAAGCACCGGCUAACUACGUG
rnacentral:rRNA from 1 species